GAUGAACGCUGGCGGCGUGCCUAAUACAUGCAAGUCGAGCGAACGGACGAGAAGCUUGCUUCUCUGAUGUUAGCGGCGGACGGGUGAGUAACACGUGGAUAACCUACCUAUAAGACUGGGAUAACUUCGGGAAACCGGAGCUAAUACCGGAUAAUAUUUUGAACCGCAUGGUUCAAAAGUGAAAGACGGUCUUGCUGUCACUUAUAGCUGGAUCCGCGCUGCAUUAGCUAGUUGGUAAGGUAACGGCUUACCAAGGCAACGAUGCAUAGCCGACCUGAGAGGGUGAUCGGCCACACUGGAACUGAGACACGGUCCAGACUCCUACGGGAGGCAGCAGUAGGGAAUCUUCCGCAAUGGGCGAAAGCAUGACGGAGCAACGCCGCGUGAGUGAUGAAGGUCUUCGGAUCGUAAAACUCUGUUAUUAGGGAAGAACAUAUGUGUAAGUAACUGUGCACAUCUUGACGGUACCUAAUCAGAAAGCCACGGCUAACUACGUG
rnacentral:rRNA from 1 species